UGCCCCAUAGUCUGGGAUACCACUUGGAAACAGGUGCUAAUACCGGAUAAGAAAGACGGAUCGCAUGAUCAGCUUUUAAAAGGCGGCGUAAGCUGUCGCUAUGGGAUGGCCCCGCGGUGCAUUAGCUAGUUGGUAAGGUAAAGGCUUACCAAGGCGAUGAUGCAUAGCCGAGUUGAGAGACUGAUCGGCCACAUUGGGACUGAGACACGGCCCAAACUCCUACGGGAGGCAGCAGGC
rnacentral:rRNA from 1 species